rnacentral:rRNA from 1 species
UUGAACGCUGGCGGCAUGCCUUACACAUGCAAGUCGAACGGCAGCAUGAUCUAGCUUGCUAGAUUGAUGGCGAGUGGCGAACGGGUGAGUAAUACAUCGGAACGUGCCCUGUAGUGGGGGAUAACUAGUCGAAAGAUUAGCUAAUACCGCAUACGACCUGAGGGUGAAAGUGGGGGACCGCAAGGCCUCAUGCUAUAGGAGCGGCCGAUGCCUGAUUAGCUAGUUGGUGAGGUAAAGGCUCACCAAGGCGACGAUCAGUAGCUGGUCUGAGAGGACGAUCAGCCACAGUGGGACGGAGAAACGGCCCAGACUCCGACGGGAGGCAGAAGGGGGGAUUUUUGGACAAUGGGCGAAACCUUGAUCAAGCAAUGCCGCGUGUGUGAAGAAGGCCUUGGGGUGUUAAAGCAUUUUGGUCGGGAAAGAAAUGUCUGUGGUUAAUACCGGGGGGCGAGGAGGGUACGGAAAGAAAAAGGCCGGGCUAACCAGGUC